UAUGAUCAUGAUAUGAUUAUGAGCAUGA
rnacentral:sRNA from 1 species